CUGAAUAACCGAUAGUGAACCAGUACCGUGAGGGAAAGGUGAAAAGAACCCCGGGAGGGGAGUGAAAUAGAACAUGAAAUCGUAAGUUUACAAGCAGUAGAAGAGCGACUUAACGCUCGACUUCGUGCCUGUUGAAGAAUGAGCUGGCGACUUGUAGGUUGUGGCAAGGUUAAGAUAAGAGAAUAUCGGAGCCAUAGUGAAAGCGAGCCUGAUAAGGGCUUUAAGUCAUAAUUUACAGACCCGAACCCGGAUGAUCUAACCAUGGCCAGUGUGAAGCUUAGGUAACACUAAGUGGAGGUACCAACCGACUGUUGUUGAAAAAACAGCGGAUGAGUUGUGGUUAGGGGUGAAAUUCCAAUCGAAUCCGGAGCUAGCUGGAUCUCCCCGAAAUGCGUUGAGGCGCAGCGGUUAAUGUUUCUUCUUAGGGGUAAAGCUACUGUUUUGGUGCGGGCUGCGAGAGCGGUACCAAAUCAAGGCAAACUCUGAAUACUAAGACGUUUAGUUAACCAGUGAGACAUUGGGGGAUAAGCUUCAGUGUCAAGAGGGAAACAGCCCAGAUUACUAGCUAAGGCCCCUAAAUAAUUACUAAGUGGUAAAGGAGGUGGGAUUGCAGAGACAAUCAGGAGGUUUGCCCAGAAGCAGCAAUCCUUUAAAGAGUGCGUAAUAGCUCACUGUUCGAGUGAUCCUGCGCCGAAAAUGACUGGGACUAAGUAAUUUGCCGAAGCUGUAAGAUGUCAAAACAUCGGUAGGGGAGCGUUCUACAUUAGUUUGAAGCGUUAACGAAAGUGGGCGUGGACGAAGUAGAAGUGAGAAUGUUAGCUUGAGUAGCGAAAACAUUGGUGAGAAUCCAAUGCCCCGAAAACCUAAGGGUUCCUCCGGAAGGCUCGUCCGCGGAGGGUGAGUCAGGUCCUAAGGUAAGGCUGAAAAGCGUAGUCGAUGGAUAACAGGUUAAUAUUCCUGUACUGUUUAUUGUUGGUAAUGGGGGACGGAGAAGGCUAGGUUAGCCAAAUUUUGGUUAUUGGUUUAAGUAUUCAAGGUGUUGAGGAUCGGCGAAAACGAUCUGAGCUGAGAUGCGAAUAGGAAAGUGCUAAGGCACUAAACCAACUGAUGUCAUACUUCCAAGAAAAGCCCUAACUACCAUAAGCAAUAAAUACCUGUACCCUAAACCGACACAGGUGGGUAAGUAGAGUAUACUAAGGGGCGCGAGAUAACUCUCUCUAAGGAACUCGGCAAAAUAGCCUCGUAACUUCGGGAGAAGAGGUACCCUUAAUGGGUUGCAAGAACCAGACGCUGGCGACUGUUUAUCAAAAACACAGGUCUCCGCAAAGUCGUAAGACGAUAUAUGGGGGCUGACACCUGCCCAGUGCCGGAAGGUUAAGGAAGCUUGUUAGUCUUUGACGAAGCUCGCGACCGAAGCCCCGGUGAACGGCGGCCGUAACUAUAACGGUCCUAAGGUAGCGAAAUUCCUUGUCGGG
rnacentral:rRNA from 1 species